rnacentral:rRNA from 1 species
AGAGUUUGAUCAUGGCUCAGGAUGAACGCUAGCGGCAGGCUUAAUACAUGCAAGUCGAGGGGCAGCAUGACUGUAGCAAUACAGUUGAUGGCGACCGGCAAACGGGUGAGUAACGCGUACAUGACCUGCCUUUAAGACCGGGAUAGCCCUGGGAAACUGGGAUUAAUACCGGAUGUGAUAAUAGAUAUAAGGAUUUAUUAUUAAAGUUGAGGCGCUUAGAGAUGGAUGUGCGUCUGAUUAGCUAGUUGGUAGGGUAACGGCCUACCAAGGCGACGAUCAGUAGGGGGCGUGAGAGCGUGGCCCCCCACACGGGUACUGAGACACGGACCCGACUCCUACGGGAGGCAGCAGUAAGGAAUAUUGGUCAAUGGACGGAAGUCUGAACCAGCCAUCCCGCGUGCAGGAUGAAGGUCCUAUGGAUUGUAAACUGCUUUUAGCAGAGAAGAAAAGCAUUCAUUUAUGAGUGUCUGACGGUAUCUGCAGAAUAAGCACCGGCUAACUCCGUGCCAGCAGCCGCGGUAAUACGGAGGGUGCAAGCGUUAUCCGGAAUCACUGGGUUUAAAGGGUGCGUAGGCGGAAUAUUAAGUCAGUGGUGAAAGCCUGUCGCUUAACGAUAGAACUGCCAUUGAUACUGAUAUUCUUGAAUUGGGUUGAGGUUAGCGGAAUGUGACAUGUAGCGGUGAAAUGCAUAGAUAUGUCAUGGAACACCAAUUGCGAAGGCAGCUAGCUGGGCCUUGAUUGACGCUGAGGCACGAAAGCGUGGGUAGCGAACAGGAUUAGAUACCCUGGUAGUCCACGCCCUAAACGAUGCUAACUCGAUGUUUGGACUUAAGGUUUGAGCAUCCAAGGGAAACCGAUAAGUUAGCCACCUGGGG